AGCGAACGCUGGCGGCAGGCCUAAAACAUGCAAGUCGAACGCCGUAGCAAUACGGAGUGGCAGACGGGUGAGUAACACGUGGGAACGUACCCUUUGGUUCGGAACAACACAGGGAAACUUGUGCUAAUACCGGAUAAGCCCUUACGGGGAAAGAUUUAUCGCCAAAGGAUCGGCCCGCGUCUGAUUAGCUAGUUGGUGGGGUAACGGCCCACCAAGGCUACGAUC
rnacentral:rRNA from 1 species